UACUUUUGCAGCCUUGAUUACAAUCCCGAAGCCGUCGGGAGUAUUCAAUACAUAAAAAUCAUUUUAAUAAUAUUGGCAUG
rfam:Aequorivita viscosa strain DSM 26349 genome assembly, contig: Ga0066802_114